rnacentral:lncRNA from 1 species
CUCUGAUCUGUCUUGCUCUCUGGAAGGCUCCGGCUGUUUGGAUCUUGAUGUGUUUAUUUCCUUCUAAUCUUUUGGUGCAGCUUUCGUCUGACCGGAAACCAUGGCAGCCGCAUCCGAUGGCAGACCAACAUACACACCGCCAUAGUUCCUCCUUUUGUCAUCAUCUGAUACAGAUUCUUCCGCUGCAUCUUUAGUAGUCCCUGUGGCACCUCUCCCGCCCGCGCCGCCGGCCGUGGAGUUACCGCAGCCCAUGGGCGCCGCCCGGGCCGCCCCGCGGUGCGGAGCCGCGCGGAGGGGAGCGGCGGCGGGAGGCAGCCGGCGGCGGGC